CAGACAUUUCAAAGGUGUAAAAAACAGAAAUUUAGGCCAAUCAGUCAAAAAAUUACUAAGAAAAAAAUCUUUGAAAAUCCUGUUUUUCAUUCAGGAAAUUGACCGAAAAUUGUUGUCCGUUUUUCGAUCUUUUGCAGUUAGUGCCGUAAUUUUGUUAAAGUUUAAAAAAUAAUCAUAUUUGUUAUAAAAUUAUAAUUUAUCGGCAUAUUUUCUUCCAUUUCAGCCAUCCUUUGAAGUGUUUAUACCUCAAAAUCAUAAAACGGCGAAAUUGUGUCCCCGGCGAAUAUGGGCCUCCCACUCUAUGUUGCAAAAGUUAUUUCUUUUGGGUGGAUGUGUAUGUUUAAGCGCGGAUUCAUAUAAGAUGGAUUCUUACAGUAUGCACCCUUUUAUUAAUUCAUUGUACAAUUUAAUAAAUAUAAUAAAUGAAUUAAAACGCCUGAUAUCGUGGGUUCUGACACCGGCCUGGUCAAACUUAAGACUUAAAAAUUGGUAUUUGCUGAUUUCCGUUAAUCAAUUGGCAUUAAGGGGUAAGAACAAAAACUAGUUGGAUCGGAGUGUCAAGUUAGGGUAAUAUGUCUUCCAACGGACUGUAACCUUUUAAGGUAUAGCACAAUAAAAAUUAAUGAAACAAACAACCCAUGCAGCAACAUGAUGUCCAAAAGUUAGCACUUUGUGUAAACAUGAAUUAUUAUUGAAAUAGUAACUUUUAUGAAUUAACUGUUAACAAAACUGUAUAUAUUGUU
rnacentral:lncRNA from 1 species